rnacentral:rRNA from 1 species
GACGAACGCUGGCGGCGUGCUUAACACAUGCAAGUCGAACGGAAAGGCCCUGCUUUUGUGGGGUGCUCGAGUGGCGAACGGGUGAGUAACACGUGAGUAACCUGCCCUUGACUUUGGGAUAACUUCAGGAAACUGGGGCUAAUACCGGAUAGGAGCUCCUGCUGCAUGGUGGGGGUUGGAAAGUUUCGGCGGUUGGGGAUGGACUCGCGGCUUAUCAGCUUGUUGGUGGGGUAGUGGCUUACCAAGGCUUUGACGGGUAGCCGGCCGGAGAGGGUGACCGGCCACAUUGUGACUGAGAUACGGCCCAGACUCCUACGGGAGGCAGCAGUGGAGAAUAUUGCACAAUGGGCGGAAGCCUGAUGCAGCCACGCCGCGGGCGGGAUGACGGCCUUCGGGUUGUAAACCGCUUUCGCCUGUGACGAAGCGUGAGUGACGGUAAUGGGUAAAGAAGCACCGGCUAACUACGUG